CGAUGUCUGAGGCCAUUUAUGAGGAGAUUCAGCACAGACACAAUCACUUCACUCAGAGGGCAGGGAGUCUCAUCUCUGAAGAACUUCAUUCUGGGUAUAAAGAUGCUGAUGAGCUUCUCUCAGCAAAAGAGAUCAAGACUGCGUAUUAUGAUGAUGUCACCAAUGGCAGUGGCCUAAAAGAAGAGAUGGUGAAGGAA